CUCCUUCCUCUCGUCAGCGGAAGUGACGGAGAAUGUGGCGUGGUUCAGAAAUUGGCUCCGAUACACAUUAAUGACUGCAUGUAAGGUUCCGGAGACUCACUGUUGCCAGGGGCGUUUCAGGGCCGAAGCGGACUUAGAGCGUCCUGCAGGGGCUAGGAUCAAGCAGCUGAUGGUAGCCUCUGAUCACGUGUCCUAGUGGAAGAGGCGGCCAAGGAAAGGUGCCAGAGCAGAGACGCGCCAAAGAGGUAGUAAUAGGAAACAACUUUACCUCUGUCAGGCGGAAGAAGGGAGUCUCGUUUGAUUAAAGAGCACUGGACGGCGCCACGCCGGUGCUUCUCCGGUCUUCUGUGUUCUCAGAAUGGAGGGGAAUAUGAAGCUUGCAGUGGUAGAAGAUGCUGUGGAGUACCACCUGUUCCUGAUACCGGAUAAUGCAAGAGACACGGAAGAAUACAGAGAGAUUCUUCAGAAGUACAUUGAAAGAAUAAUGACCCAAUUUGCACCUAUACUGGUCCCUUAUAUCUGGCAGAAUCAACCUUUCAAUCUCAAAUAUAAACCUGCAAAAGGAGGUGUUCCUGCUCAUAUAUAUGGCAUGACAAAGUUUGGAGAUAACAUUGAGGAUGAAUGGUUUAUUGUCUAUGUAAUAAAGCAGAUUACAAAGGCAUUUCCAGAGUUAGUGGCCAGCAAUAUGGAUUUAAGUGUUGUAACUCUGAAGGAAAGAUACUCUGGCCGGCAGGAGCCAAGGAAUACCACACAGCAAACCUCACACAAGAGAUUUAUUGGGAGGCAAAAACCCAGGAUUGAAGACAAUGAUGGUGAGUUCUUGUUAAUAGAAGCAGCUGACUUUCUCCCUAAGUGGUUGGAUCCCGAUAAUAGUGCCAAUAGGGUAUUCUUCCAUCAUGGGGAGCUGUGCAUUAUUCCUGUGCCAAGGAAAUCUGAAAGAAUAUCCUGGUUACCCAUGACACCCCCAACAAUCCAACAAGCUCUGAGUAUAAUCUCAGCCCACCCAGAUGUUGUUUUAGCUUCAGAGUCUAUACAAGCUGCUGUGGACAGGCGCAUCCGAGGGUACCCAGACAAAGUUGAAGCCUCUCGUCAUCGAGCACACUGCUUUCUUCCAGCUGGCAUUGUCGCAGUGCUCAAGCAACGGCCCAGACUAGUGUCUGCAGCGGUCCAAGCCUUCUACCUACGGGACCCCAUUGACCUGAGAGCCUGUCGCAUUUUCAAGACGUUUUUGCCUGAAACACGAAUAAUGGCAUCUGUCACUUUCACUAAAUGUCUGUACGCACAGUUAGUACAACAGAAGUUUGUGCCAGAUCGGCGGAGUGGAUACAGUCUCCCACCUCCAUCACAUCCCCAGUUCCGAGCCUAUGAACUGGGCAUGAAGCUGGCUCAUGGAUUUGAGAUUUUGUGCUCCAAAUGUAGCUCACAUUUUUCUGACUCCAAGAAAUCCGUUGACACUACUUCACCGCUCUGGGCUAGCUUCCUUGAAAGUCUGAAAAGGAAUGAUUACUUUAAGGGACUGAUGGAAGGUUCUACUCAGUACCAGGAAAGACUAGAAAUGGCAAAGAACUACUUCCAGCUCUCUAUACACCGGCCAGAAAGUUCACUUGCUAUGAGCCCAGGUGAAGAAAUCCUAACCAUGUUACAGACACUGCCAUUUGAUGUGGAAGAGCUCAAGAAAGAAUCCACUGAUCUUCCCCCUGAGGAUGAUGAUCAGUGGUUAGACCUCUCACCCGACCAGCUGGACCAACUGCUGCAAGACGUGGCGGGCAGAAAAGACUCUCAGCCCAGUCCCCAGCAGGCGGAGGAGCAGAGCUAUGAUGUCGGGCAGGUCUCAGACAGCGUGAAGGCCUUCAUCUCCAAAGUGUCAACUUACAAGGGGGCAGAGCUGCCCAGAGACCCUUCAGAAGCUCCAAUCACUUUUGAUGCAGAUUCUUUUCUGAAUUAUUUUGAUAAGAUUUUAGGGACAAAGCUUCAAGAGUCAGACUCUGAUGAUGACAAAGAUGACUUUGAGUGUUUAGAUAGUGAUGAUGACUUGGGUUUUGAAGCUCAGGAGCCUGACUCUCUGGAAGGAGCUCUUGGCAGCCUCAAGUCCUACAUGGCCCAGAUGGACCAGGAACUGGCACACACAAGUAUGGGCAAAAGCUUCAGUACCUGCGAGCAAGCAAAUAAAGAACCUUCAUCCCAGACUGCAAAUAACAAUUCAGAUGAGGAAGAUUCUGGUGCAAGAGAUAGAGUUGUUGAAGCAGUGGAUGUAGACCUGAACCUGGUUUCAAAUAUACUGGAAUCCUACAGCUCCCAAGCUGGGCUGGCAGGGCCUGCUUCCAACCUGCUGCAUAGCAUGGGUGUGCGGGUGCCUGACAAUGCUGAUCACAGCCCCCACGUAAGCCAGUGAGGGCUGAGCCUGCGCACUAGCUGCCCUUCACACUGAGGAAACACCAAGUCCACUUGUUCUUACAGGAUUAUCAACCUCUGCCCAUAGAACAAGAUGACAAUGACCUUCCAAUUGACCCUGAUGGUGGGGACCAGCUAUACCCUGACAAUGAAAACAUCCCUAAUCAGCAGGAAGUAGCUCGAAGAGCAAAGGUCACCCCUAUGCCCUCUCCACCACCACUCCUCACUUUUUAAUAAAACAAAAAGGGAGGAAUGUUGGGAUCCAUAAGCAGGCAUCUCUAUGGCCAGCCCCAAGGGACCUGACAAACUGGAUAUCAGGCAUCUGUGAAGCCACCUACAGACCACCCGAAACCACCCGCACAUGUUCUGGGUCACCUUAUAAGAGAACUCACACCACCUCCAAUCUCUCUUUCCUGCCCUGCCCAAAGACAGUCUCUGCGACUCCUUCCCCCUUCCCUUAAUAAACCUCCAACAUGGAACCAGUCACGUGGCAUGAUUUGUGAACCCACUGUAACUUUGCUGCACAAUCCUGACAGCAACCACUAAGGAAAACUAUGGAAGUUAUUAAAUAGAUAGAUAGAUAGAUAGAUAGAUAGAUAGAUAGAUAGAUAGACGGAUAGAUAAAUAAAUAAAUGGUGGCACUUGCCUUUAAUCCCAGUACUGGGGAGGCAGAGGAAGGAGGAUCUCUGGGAGUUUGAGGCCAGCCUGGUCUACACAGUGAAGUCCAGGCCAGAGAGGGAUAGACAGUGAAACCCUAUCUCCAAAUAAAAAUUUUAAAGCAGAGCUAUCAUUUGUUCCAAGAACCCCACCUCCCAAGCAUAAUAUCCAAGAGAACUGAAAUCUAGAACUCAAAGGUGCCUCUAUAUUCCUGUUGUUGCUGUGACACAAUUUACAUCAUCCAUGACAUAAAAAGUUUAAAUGUCUAUCAACAAAGAGUGACAAAUACAUACCAUGAACUAGUAUUGGGAGGUUUUUUUUAUUCUCACCUCUCAUGCCUGGAACUCCUGACUUCCUUACUCUGUUGCCCAAGUACUGAGGUAACAGGUAUUUGUUACGCUGGCUGGCCUUACUGAAUUUUUAAAAUGAAGGAAAUCCCACAUUUAUAAGGUGAUGGGCCUGGAAGAUAUGCUAAGUUCAAUAAUCUACUUGAUGCAGAUUCUACAUGGCCUCUGCUGCAUUGGGGACUAAAUUAGUCAGAUAUGUAGAAGUGAAGUGUUGAAUGCUUGUUCCCAAGGAGAGAAAAACAGGGAAGCAGUGAUUAGAGGGUAUUAAUUUCACUUAUACAAGAUAAAUUCUGGAGGCCUGUACAGUACAGCAUCUACAGUUAGCAAUAUUGUGUCAGUUACAUUAAAAUUCAACUUAUGUUAAAUGCUCUUAUCACAGAGGAGAAAUGGGGAUGGGGUAGAUGGUUAAGCUUAUGCCACUGCCAGUGAUGUCUGAUUGAUGGUUCCUGAUAGUAAUUACUGAUCAAACAGUACUACAUGCUUAUCUCUAAACCCAGCAAGUUAGGUGAACUAGAUGUCUAUAGACAUCUGAAGACCUAUCUAUAAAUAAAACAAAACAGGGUCUCAUGUAGUCCAGGUUGGUCUCAAACUUCUGAUCCUCCUGCCUCCACCUCCCAAGUGUUGGGAUUGUAAGUAGGUACUAGCAGGCUGGCUUUAUAUGGUGUGAAGACUGAACCUGGCUUUGUGUGUGUUACAAGCUAGCACUCUACCAACUGAACUACAUCCUCAUCCAUCAACAGACUCUGUGAUAAUUAUGCUCCAACAAAGCAGCUCAAAGGGAAGUUGUUUCAUAACUGAGAUAUAUGCAAAGGAGAAUGAUGAUUAUUUGUUUCCAUUCUCAAGUGCUUCCUUCAGGAUAAUGAUUAUCUUAUGUAUUACCAUGUAUCCCUGAUGUUACUCCUCAAGACAAGUGCUCAGAAAGUCCUUGCAGGCUGGCAAAGGGGACAUCACAGCAUAGAGGAAGGUUAAGACUUUACCUCUGUUUGCCCUGGUUUCACGGUUGCAUGACAAGCAAUCAUGAGUGAGCUAUUGGGAAAGGGCCAGUGCUGGGACGAGAAGUACUGUAUGUUUUCCACUUCCAGGCCCACUUCUUCUGCAACUUCUCGCUGGACAGCCUCUUCCACAUUUUCACCUGUAAGCACUCAGAUUAAUUCCAAACAGCCCUGGAGCAAGAGAAUUUUAUAUUAUCUAUCUGAAUCACGAUGGCCCAAGCUUCUGGGUGCUACCCAAGCUCAGUUCCCUGAGUAUAGCAUGUGCUCAAGUCUAAUGGGCUGAUUGUAAUGCAGGUGAGUGUAGCAAUGGGAGAGGUUACUGCUGCCUCUUCUGUGUGACAGGGCCACUCGUCACCUUCUCCAGACCUUAUCCUGUAAGCUAGAAGAGAAGACAGCAUAAAGGAAGCUAAGUGUGGGAUUCUAGUUACCAUUGUGUGUGCUGAAAGACUCAGGGAGAAGUACAUGAAUGUAAUUUGUUCAAGAGAAAAUAAAGAUGGGCUGACAGCAGGGCAGACAAAUGGAUAGAUGCCUGUGGGAGAGAAGAACAGUAAAGAUUACAGCUGAGGCGAUGGGUGUAGGGACGCUCACUGUAUAAUUCCUCCAGUUAUGCUGCAUGUUCCAAAUGUUGACUCCUGCUCUGUAGCGAAGUUACUUACAACUUCAGGACAGUUUAAUGUUUGUGACUA